rnacentral:rRNA from 1 species
UCAUCUUCGGGGGUAGAGCACUGUUUCGGCUAGGGGGUCAUCCCGACUUACCAACCCGAUGCAAACUACGAAUACCGAAGAAUGUUAUCACGGGAGACACACGGCGGGUGCUAACGUCCGUCGUGAAGAGGGAAACAACCCAGACCGCCAGCUAAGGUCCCAAAGUCAUGGUUAAGUGGGAAACGAUGUGGGAAGGCACAGACAGCCAGGAUGUUGGCUUAGAAGCAGCCAUCAUUUAAAGAAAGCGUAAUAGCUCACUGGUCGAGUCGGCCUGCGCGGAAGAUGUAACGGGGCUAAACCAUGCACCGAAGCUGCGGCAGCGACACUAUGUGUUGUUGGGUAGGGGAGCGUUCUGUAAGCCUGCGAAGGUGUGCUGUGAGGCAUGCUGGAGGUAUCAGAAGUGCGAAUGCUGACAUAAGUAACGAUAAAGCGGGUGAAAAGCCCGCUCGCCGGAAGACCAAGGGUUCCUGUCCAACGUUAAUCGGGGCAGGGUGAGUCGACCCCUAAGGCGAGGCCGAAAGGCGUAGUCGAUGGGAAACAGGUUAAUAUUCCUGUACUUGGUGUUACUGCGAAGGGGGGACGGAGAAGGCUAUGUUAGCCGGGCGACGGUUGUCCCGGUUUAAGCAUGUAGGCUGGUUAUCCAGGCAAAUCCGGAUAAUCAAGGCUGAGGUGUGAUGACGAGGCACUACGGUGCUGAAGUAACAAAUGCCCUGCUUCCAGGAAAAGCCUCUAAGCAUCAGGUAACAUCAAAUCGUACCCCAAACCGACACAGGUGGUCAGGUAGAGAAUACCAAGGCGCUUGAGAGAACUCGGGUGAAGGAACUAGGCAAAAUGGUGCCGUAACUUCGGGAGAAGGCACGCUGGUGUGUAGGUGAAGUCCCUGCGGAUGGAGCUGAGACCAGUCGAAGAUACCAGCUGGCUGCAACUGUUUAUUAAAAACACAGCACUGUGCAAACACGAAAGUGGACGUAUACGGUGUGACGCCUGCCCGGUGCCGGAAGGUUAAUUGAUGGGGUUAUCCGUAAGGAGAAGCUCUUGAUCGAAGCCCCGGUAAACGGCGGCCGUAACUAUAACGGUCCUAAGGUAGCGAAAUUCCUUGUCGGGUAAGUUCCGACCUGCACGAAUGGCGUAAUGAUGGCCAGGCUGUCUCCACCCGAGACUCAGUGAAAUUGAACUCGCUGUGAAGAUGCAGUGUACCCGCGGCAAGACGGAAAGACCCCGUGAACCUUUACUAUAGCUUGACACUGAACAUUGAGCCUUGAUGUGUAGGAUAGGUGGGAGGCUUUGAAGCGUGGACGCCAGUCUGCGUGGAGCCAACCUUGAAAUACCACCCUUUAAUGUUUGAUGUUCUAACGUUGGCCCCUGACCGGGGUUGCGGACAGUGUCUGGUGGGUAGUUUGACUGGGGCGGUCUCCUCCCAAAGCGUAACGGAGGAGCACGAAGGUUAGCUAAUCCUGGUCGGACAUCAGGAGGUUAGUGCAAUGGCAUAAGCUAGCUUGACUGCGAGCGUGACGGCGCGAGCAGGUGCGAAAGCAGGUCAUAGUGAUCCGGUGGUUCUGAAUGGAAGGGCCAUCGCUCAACGGAUAAAAGGUACUCCGGGGAUAACAGGCUGAUACCGCCCAAGAGUUCAUAUCGACGGCGGUGUUUGGCACCUCGAUGUCGGCUCAUCACAUCCUGGGGCUGAAGUAGGUCCCAAGGGUAUGGCUGUUCGCCAUUUAAAGUGGUACGCGAGCUGGGUUUAGAACGUCGUGAGACAGUUCGGUCCCUAUCUGCCGUGGGCGCUGGAGAAUUGAGGGGGGCUGCUCCUAGUACGAGAGGACCGGAGUGGACGCAUCACUGGUGUUCGGGUUGUCAUGCCAAUGGCACUGCCCGGUAGCUAAAUGCGGAAGAGAUAAGUGCUGAAAGCAUCUAAGCACGAAACUUGCCCCGAGAUGAGUUCUCCCUGAGACUUUAAGUCUCCUGAAGGAACGUUAAAGACGAUGACGUUGAUAGGCCGGGUGUGUAAGCGCAGCGAUGCGUUGAGCUAACCGGUACUAAUGAACCGUGAGGCUUAACCUUACAACGCCGAAG